rnacentral:rRNA from 1 species
UACAGAGGUCUCAAGCGUUGUUCGGAUUCAUUGGGCGUAAAGGGUGCGUAGGUGGCGUCGUAAGUCGGGUGUGAAAUUUCGGAGCUUAACUCCGAAACUGCAUUCGAUACUGCGGUGCUUGAGGACUGGAGAGGAGACUGGAAUUUACGGUGUAGCAGUGAAAUGCGUAGAGAUCGUAAGGAAGACCAGUGGCGAAGGCGAGUCUCUGGACAGUUACUGACGCUGAGGCACGAAGGCCAGGGGAGCAAACGGG